rnacentral:rRNA from 1 species
UACGUAGGGGGCAAGCGUUAUCCGGAAUCACUGGGCGUAAAGGGUGCGUAGGCGGCUGAUCAAGCCAGGGGUGAAAGGCAAUAGCUUAACUAUUGUAAGCCUUUGGAACUGGUCAGCUUGAGUGCAGGAGAGGAAAGCGGAAUUCCUAGUGUAGCGGUGAAAUGCGUAGAUAUUAGGAGGAACACCCGUGGCGAAGGCGGCUUUCUGGACUGUAACUGACGCUGAGGCACGAAAGCGUGGGGAGCAAACAGG